rnacentral:rRNA from 1 species
AUGCGGCCGUACCGUGCUGAAUAUACCGAUUCUCGUUAGAUCACCGAAGUUAAGCAUCAUUGGGCGCGGUCAGUACUUGGGUGGGUGACCACCUGGGAACACUGCGUGCCGUU